CAUAAACAAGGAGAUUACUGGCAUCUCAGCAAGCUCUAAAGAAGAAAUUUGUAUGGCUGAAGCAGGAGCUUACAGAAGCUAAGAGCAGAUCAGCAGGCAUUCAGGGGCUGGUGGCUUGGUCAACAGGGAACAAUCUGAGUCCUGGCUCCAUUGUUGAGGGCAGCACCAAGAAUGGUGACAGCUGCAUGGGGGUGUGCCUUUAAGAGCUAAAUGCUCAGAUGACCAAUGAAAGUGGCAGAUUGAUUUUUACUUCAUUUUUCAAGAUGUUAGGGAACUUGAUUAUAUUCUUUGUUGAGCAAGAGACAGAAAAACAAUAUUACAUGUCCCUCCCCAGUCAUAUGGGCAUAAGAGUGCACAGAAACAAGACAACCAGUGCUGCAACCUGGCAAUCCUGCAUCCCACUGUUGAAGCUGAGGACCAAAACUACUGCUGUAUCUGUUGAAUUUCUGCCUAGGCAUUUACAUGGUGUUGCUGAUCACGCAAAUGGUACCCAUGCACACACAGAUGCCAUGUGCUUGUUGGUGCCACGUGGGUGGGGGUACUUGGGCUGAGCACCGCCCCAGCAGGAAGCUGCAUGGGGUGGCGGAAAGCAAGUAAAAAUCUGCUUUCCUCUUUCUUAAAGCUCCCUCUCCCCACUACCAACCAGGGCUCGAACUGCUGCUCAGACCACGGUUUGAGCACAUCCCUACUUGGAAGAAAAUGAAUGUACCACCAGAGAGUUGCAGAGGAAGUGAGGUAGCAUCACAGAUAAUAAGGGGAAAUUACCUCACACCAGUGAAUCACGAGAGAAACAUGGAUAUCAGCUGCUUGCAAGUUAAAAAUGGACUUAAAAACUUGAAUAUUGUAAAAAGAAGUCUUCAUGGGCAGGCGGGCAGGCAGAUAGAGGACAGAAUAUGCCCCCACCCUGAAAAGGGUUGGAGAAGUCUGAUCUGAACUGGGCUGGCCAUGUUCGGGUUCAGACUCUCCCCAAACCCUUCAGAUUUUGGUAAAAUUGGACAUGGUCUGA